UACGGAGGGUCCAAGCGUUAUCCGGAUUCAUUGGGUUUAAAGGGUCCGCAGGCGGGAAAAUAAGUCAGUGGUGAAAUCCUACAGCUUAACUGUAGAACUGCCAUUGAUACUGUUUUUCUUGAGUAUAGAUGAAGUGGGCGGAAUGUGUCAUGUAGCGGUGAAAUGCAUAGAUAUGACACAGAACACCGAUUGCGAAGGCAGCUGGCUACACAAAUAUUGACGCUGAGGCACGAAAGCGUGGGGAUCAAACAGG
rnacentral:rRNA from 1 species